GGGGCUGUUUUGGUUUUGACAUUUAAAAAUCUUUAAAGUAUGAAGCAGGUCGAAGGUUGUAGUCUUCGUAAAAACUCACAUAUAAUAAAAUAAAUGCUGCUAACAACAUAAUAUUUUUUAAUCAUAAAUCAAUAAUUUCUAAUAAAUAUACUCUUAAUGCAUUAUCAAUUUAAUAAAAAUUAAUAAUUGACUAAUUUAUUGGAUUAUUUUAUAUUAGCAAUCUAAUUCGCUAUGAUUACUAUUUUUUUAGUUAUUUAUAGUUUAGAAUGAAUCAUCAAUUUAAUUUGUUCUUUGAAAAGAACUAAACCUGUGAAUGAGUGCUUUAAUGGAAUUUAGAUGGACGUGGGUUCAAUUCCCAUCAGCUCCA
rnacentral:tmRNA from 1 species